UACGUAGGGGGCAAGCGUUGUCCGGAAUUACUGGGCGUAAAGCGCACGUAGGCGGUCUUUUAAGUCGGGGGUGAAAUCCUGGAGCUCAACUCCAGAACUGCCUUCGAUACUGGAAGACUUGAGUCCGGGAGAGGUGAGUGGAACUGCGAGUGUAGAGGUGAAAUUCGUAGAUAUUCGCAAGAACACCAGUGGCGAAGGCGGCUCACUGGCCCGGUACUGACGCUGAGGUGCGAAAGCGUGGGGAGCAAACAGG
rnacentral:rRNA from 1 species